UGAACAGUUUUUUAAGACGCUCCUAGGGGUAAACUCGAGAAACCCUCCUCCUGCAUUUAAGAUCCAGAAUCCCAACUAUCAAAUUAAACGGCUGAUUGAAUAUCCCAUUAUCAAUUGAAAUCAAUAGAUCACAACUCGAACCAGACGAUUACAUCUGUUAGGUUUCCCCUCUCUGUUCCGAUGAAGAUGGUGGUGCCAGGAAGAGGAUUGCGGCUAUAUUACGAGUAUCAUCUCUUUCACAAAACCGAGGAUCAAUGAAAUCAGUCACAAAGUUCCUGCUCUAUUUCUCAAUGAUCAACUCCGCUCUUCUCUUCUGCUGAUGAUUUAAGGUUUUGUUUGUAUUUCAAGAUAUGGUGAACAAUAGGGCUAAAUCCCCCAUCCUACAUGCUUUAUUUCUCCAGUAAUCUUGCUGUUCGAUUCAUGUAGAGAUUGGACUACGAGAGAAAGAUGUUAAGAUCAGGAUGUUGAUGUUGAGCCCUAAAUUAGUUCAUAAUUUUUCGAACAACCUACACCAGUGUCGUGAUUCCAGCAACCGGCCCUGUCUUCGCGUUGCGGAACCAGUUAGACAGCUUAUGGAUGCAGGUUGGUGUUGGUUAGGCCUUGGAAUUUGUCUUGGUGUCGGCAUUGGAGUUGGUCUUCUUGUUCGUACAUAUCAAUCUACCACCAGAAAUUUUCGAAGACGGCUUUUGUGUGGUGUUGAAAUAGGAGAAAAUUACUUAUACACAGCCUACAGGUCAUCCUCAUUUUGAAGAAUCUCCGUGUCUUUAUUGGCCAAAUAAGCUGCAAUAGGUUACAAGGUUUUAUAUAGCGCAAGGCGCACCAUCAUAGGGUCUAAAUUCUAGAACCAGGAGGCUCAGAACCAAACCACACUGUGUAUGAGUUCACCGAGAAAUGAUGAAGAUGAGGAUGAGGAUGAGAGUGAAGGUGGUGGUGAUUUGGUGGUGAGGAGGAGAAGGAGGUCGGAUCUUGAAGGCGAUGAUCUAGCGGAGAUGUCUGCAACGAGAAGAUGACAGUCGCGGAUUUUGAGCAAGUGGGUUGCUUGACAAGCACAGAAGAUGAUCACCACGAGAGAGCUGAGGACUCGGGAGAAUGAGUUGAUGGUGCUUCAUUCAAGUCGCGGAUUUUGAGCAGCUAUUAAUCAUCUGAAAGCGGUUCAAGAUACUCCUGAGCUUCGUUCCGCCAUUGAAGAGAUUCAGCCUGAGAGAAUCACAUUUGGCCUAAAGGUUGAUCAAAGUAAACCAAUUUAUAAUGCUUUCAAGGUUAUGAAGGAUUCACCAAACUGGGCAACACUAAGUGAUGCUCGUAAACGAAUAGUUGAAUGUAAGCAUCAUCAAUAGAUGGGUUGCCAGCUACCGCUCUUGGAUUGGCCGCACAAAUAGCCACAUCAAAGGUUCCCGAGCACAACUAAUUAGUUAUUACCUUUCGAUCCUGAUUAGCACAAAACAUUAAUCUUUUACUUAGUUUACUCUUUCUACCGAUUUAGGGUCAUGAAAAUGCCACUGCCGAAAAUGGGCCAUGGAUGAUAACAUUAAACGGGCCAAGUUUCAUGUCUGUUAUGCAACAUGCUAAGAAUCGGGCUUUGCGGGAGGAAAUUUACCGUGCUUAUGUAACAUGUGCUUUAAGUGGAGAUUUAGAUAAUACUCCGGUUAUUGAACAAAUUUUGAAGCUUAGGUUAGCAAAGGGCCAAAGGCUUAGCUUCUUGGAUAUAAUAACUACGCAGAGGUUUAGACUUUAAAUAUUUGUUUCUAACAAUUUAGUUGCUAUCUAAAUAAACUUCAGUUUUGUUUAUUUAUAUUGUUACUUAUUAUGAAGCUUUAAUCAUUAGUUAAGCAUGGCUACAAAGAUGGCCACUGUUGACAAAGCAGAAGAGCUACUCGAAAAGCUAAGGAGUGCUUCUUGUAUUUAAAUAUCUUGUUAUUAAGGUUGUAUUAAUCCGGUGGCGGGUCUAGAAGAAAGAUUCAGGGUAUCCCAUUUUUUUUUAAAUUCGUAUAAAGAAUGAAACCUCGAUAAUAACUUUACUUUAAUUCCUUUUGUAUAGUUUGAUUGUUUGCGUAGGCGGAUAAUGAGAACCAGACCUAAUAUAUUA